CCUGGUUGAUCCUGCCAGUAGUCAUAUGCUUGUCUAAAAGAUUAAGCCAUGCAUGUAUAAGCUAAAGCUGAUAAAUAGUGAAGCCGCGGACAGCUCAUUAAUACACUCAUAAUCUUCGCAAUGCAUCCAAUAUGGAUAUCUGUGCUAAUUUUAGAGCUAAUACACGCAAUCAAGCCCCUUAAUUGGGGAGCAUUUAUUAGAACAAAACCGAUCGGGGUCUCCCCGCUGUUGGUGAAUCUGAAUAACUGUGCAGAUCGCAGGUCUUUGUACCGGCGACACAUUGCAAGAGUGAGUGCCUUAUCAACUGUCGAUGGUAGUAUAUAUGCCUACCAUGGUUAUUACGGGUAACGGAGAAUUAGGGUUUGACUCCGGAGAGGCAGCCUGAGAGACGGCUACCAGUUCUAAGGAACGCAGCAGGCGCGCAAUUACACAAUGACAGUAAACUGUUGAUGUUGUGACAAGAGGUAACGGGGCGGUCCUCUAUGAGGCCCGUCAUUGUAUUGAGUAAAACUCAAAAUAUUUAACGAAACCAAUUGGAGGGCAAGUCUGGUGCCAGCAGCCGCGGUAAUUCCAGCUCCAAAAGCAUAUAUUAAAGUUGUUGCGGUUAAAAAGCUCGUAGUUGGAUCCAUGACCUCGGAGGGCGGUCCCCCACUGGGUGCGUACUGCUGCUCCGAGUCCUAUCUGUCAGUUUGUCUGUGUUGCCUUUAAUCGGGUGGCACAGGUGACUGACGUGUUUACUUUGAAAAAAAUUAGAGUGUUUAAAGCAGGCGUUGAAUGCCUGAAUAGUGGUGCAUGGAAUAAUGGAAUAGGAUCUCGGUUCUAUUUUGUUGGUUCAAGAGCAUGAGAAAAUGAUUAAGAGGGACAGACGGGGGCAUUUGUAUUGCUGCGUUAGAGGUGAAAUUCUUGGAUCGUAGCAAGACAAACUACUGCGAAGGCAUUUGCCAAGAAUGUUUUCAUUAAUCAAGAACGAAAGUUAGAGGUUCGAAGGCGAUCAGAUAUCGCCCUAGUUCUAACCGUAAACCAUGUCGACUAGCUAUCUGUCAGCGUAAUAAUGACCUGACAGGCAGCUUACCGGAAACGAAAGUUUCUCGAUUCCGGGGGUAGUAUGGUUGCAAAGCUGAAACUUAAAGGAAUUGACGGAAGGGCACCACCAGGAGUGGAGCCUGCGGCUUAAUUUGACCCAACACGGGAAAACUCACCCGGCCCGGACACCGUAAGGAUUGACAGAUUAAUAGCUCUUUCUCGAUUUGGUGAUUGGUGGUGCAUGGCCGUUCUUAGUUGGUGGAGCGAUUUGUCUGGUUAAUUCCGAUAACGAACGAGAUUCUAACUUACUAACUAGUUCCACGAUCCUUGUGGUCCUAAAUACUUCUUAGAGGGAAAACCGGCAUUUAGUCGAACGAGA
rnacentral:rRNA from 1 species